GUUUUUGCCUGUCAUGGAGUUCCGUUCAUUCUGAACAUGUCACCGGGGACUUUGGAAUGUGUAUCCAUAACUCCCUGAUUUUCAACCACAUUCCAGCCUGCCUGACUCAUGAAGCGUGGAGCGACCCAGGAACAUCCCAGCUCCUCAUGUCCCACAUUCUUCAGGCUUUCUCUUAGUUUUGGCAUGUGCAUGUAAAUGUCAACAGCUGCUUCUGCUGACUCCUCGUCUCAAUUAAUCGCGGCUCUGUCUUCCGUUUGCUGAAGCCGAAGACCUCCCCGCUCUCUCAGAGCCCAUGUCUGGCACAUCAGCGAAUCUCGUUGGCACUGCCGUCAAACACAUCCAUCUAGGAUCUCCCCGCACUUCACGCCACCCACCGCGCUAGUCUGUGGAUCCCUGUUUCUCUCUUGGAUGUAGUAAUAGUCACAUAGCUGGACUUCUGCCCUGGCACUUCUUCAGCCCCUUGUUAGAGGAAUCCUGCUAAAUGUUGGAUGAUUUACCCCCCACCUCCCGCACCCCCCGCCACACACACAUAGGAGCUCCACUGGCUCCUCAUAACUCUCAGGGUGCCAGCCUGUCUCUGCCAUGACCCGAAAGCUCUCCGUCAUCUGUCUCCCGCCCCUCCCUCACUGACUCUAUCUGCCACCCUCUCCCUGUUGUCCACGCUGCCCCAGCCCCACAGGCCUCCUCCUGUUCCUCAGACUCCCCAGGGAUACUCCUGCCUCAGGGCCUUUGCCCUGGCUAUUCCCUCCAGCUACAAUGCUCUUCCUGAAUCUGCAUGAUUCGAUGCCCACUCCCCCAUUCUCAGCCUGUCCCCACAUCUCAGUGAGCCCUGCCCGGGCCACCCUGGAAAAUCUCAGCAUCCCAGGCUGGGCGUGGUGGCUCAUGCCUGUAAUCUCAGCACCUUGGGAGGCCAAGGCAGGCAGAUUGCUUGAGCUCAGGAGUUUGAGACCAGCCUGGCCAACAUGGCGAAACCCCAUCUCUCCUAAAAAUACAAAAAUUAGCUGAGUGUGGUGGUGCGUGCCUGUAAUCACAGCUACUUGGGAGGCUGAGGCAGCAGAAUCGAUUGAACCUGGGAGGCAGAGGUUUCAGUGAGCCGAGAUCAUGCCACUGCACUCCAGCCUGGGCGACAGAGCGAGACUCCAUCUAACACACACAAAAAAAGCACUUUUUUUUCAUCCUCCCAGCACUUCUUGUCCUCCUUGCUUCCCUUGUUUUUUUUUUUUUUCACAUUCACACAUAUGAUGAUCCAGCAUUCUACAUAUUUUAUUUAUCUUAUUUAUUUUCAGUCUUCUCCACUCAAAUGUAUGAUAUUUAAGGCAGGGGUUUUAAAAUGUCUUGUUCUUGGCCAGGCAUGGUGGCUCACACGUGUAAUUCUAGCACUUUGGGAGGCCGAGGCAGGUGGAGCACCUGAGGUCAGGAGUUCAAGACCAGCCUGGUCAACAUGGCGAAACCCCGUCUCUACUAAAAAUACGAAAUUAGCCAGGCGUGGUGGCGGACGCCUGUAAUCCCAGCUAUAAUCCCAGCUACUCAGGAGGCUGAAGCAGGAGAAUCGCUUGAACCUGGGAGGCAGAGCUUGCAGUGAGCCGAGAUCACGCCACUACACUGCAGCCUGGGUGACAGAGUGAGACUCCAUCUCAAAAAACAACAACAAAAUAAAUAAAUAAAUAAAAAUAAAAUGUCUUGUUCUCUUUUUUCCUCCAGUGCCCAGAUCAGCGCCUGAUAUAUACUUGGCACACAAUAACCACUCUUGAAAUUCAUGAAGGAAUCUGGACAUUUAGGGGGUUCACAGAAUCCGCCGCUUUUAGGGAAGAUUCUCUGCCUGAUGUAUCAAUAAAGGCAAAAACCAGGAGAUCCCAUAAAUCCCGCUGAGCCUGUCAUAGCUAUCAAAUUAUACCCAGAUAAAGCUUCUGGUGGCUAAUGACAUGGCCAUCACCCAGCGUGGACGUGGGCAGGAGGGGCUCUCCGGGAGCAUCUGGUCUGCUGUGGAGACACUUGUCAUCUGGAGGCUCUGUGGCUCUAAUGGAGGGUGAUGCUUUGAACGCGACUAUCUCCCCCAUAAAAAAAUAAAUAAAUAAUAAGUAUAAUUUAAAAAUAAACAAAG
rnacentral:lncRNA from 1 species